rnacentral:rRNA from 1 species
UACGAAGGGUGCAAGCGUUACUCGGAAUUACUGGGCGUAAAGCGUGCGUAGGCGGUUUCUUAAGUCUGCUGUGAAAGCCCUGGGCUCAACCUGGGAAUGGCGGUGGAUACUGAGAAGCUGGAGUACGGUAGAGGAAGGUGGAAUUCCCGGUGUAGCGGUGAAAUGCGCAGAUAUCAGGAGGAACACCGGUGGCGAAGGCGGUGGUCUGGGCCGGCACUGACGCUGAGGAGCGAAAGCGUGGGGAGCGAUCCGG